AAGAAGCUUGCUUCUUUGCUGACGAGUGGCGGACGGGUGAGUAAUGUCUGGGAAACUGCCUGAUGGAGGGGGAUAACUACUGGAAACGGUAGCUAAUACCGCAUAACGUCGCAAGACCAAAGAGGGGGACCUUCGGGCCUCUUGCCAUCGGAUGUGCCCAGAUGGGAUUAGCUAGUAGGUGGGGUAACGGCUCACCUAGGCGACGAUCCCUAGCUGGUCUGAGAGGAUGACCAGCCACACUGGAACUGAGACACGGUCCAGACUCCUACGGGAGGCAGCAGUGGGGAAUAUUGCACAAUGGGCGCAAGCCUGAUGCAGCCAUGCCGCGUGUAUGAAGAAGGCCUUCGGGUUGUAAAGUACUUUCAGCGGGGAGGAAGGGAGUAAAGUUAAUACCUUUGCUCAUUGACGUUACCCGCAGAAGAAGCACCGGCUAACUCCGUGCCAGCAGCCGCGGUAAUACGGAGGGUGCAAGCGUUAAUCGGAAUUACUGGGCGUAAAGCGCACGCAGGCGGUUUGUUAAGUCAGAUGUGAAAUCCCCGGGCUCAACCUGGGAACUGCAUCUGAUACUGGCAAGCUUGAGUCUCGUAGAGGGGGGUAGAAUUCCAGGUGUAGCGGUGAAAUGCGUAGAGAUCUG
rnacentral:rRNA from 1 species